rnacentral:antisense_RNA from 2 species
CGUUAUGGCAGCUGUGCGUCGGAGAUCUGCGGAUCUGCCGGGUCCUGGUCCGGUCUUGCACACCAACGCACAGCUGCCACCUCU